CAGAGGCAGAGCUCGGGGGACAUCCACCAUGGCCUGGACCCCUCUCCUGCUGCCCCUCCUCACUCUCUGCACAGGUCACCUGGCUUCUUCUCAGCUGACUCAGCCGCCUGCGGUGUCCGUGUCCUUGGGACAGACGGCCAGCAUCACCUGCCAGGGAGACGACUUAGCAUUUCUUAGUGCUAACUGGUACCAGCUGAAGCCGGGCCAGGCCCCUGUGACAGUCAUUUAUGGUGGUAGCGACCGGGCCUCAGGGAUCCCUGACCGGUUCUCUGGCUCCAAAUCAGACACCACGGCCACCCUGACCAUCCGCGGGGCCCAGGCCGAGGACGAGGCCGACUAUUACUGUCAGUCAGGUGGUAUCGAUGUUGAUGCUCACAGUGACACAGACAGACGGGGAAGUGAGACACAAACCCUCCCGUCCUGCUCACGCUCUCCUCCAGCCCCGGGAGGACCGUGGACACCACAGGGACAGGCCUGGCCCAGUACCUUCAGAGCUGAGCCCCCAGGCAGCCCCUCCUCCCGGCCCUUCAGCAGGCUCUGCACAGGGGGUCAGGAAUGGAUUUAGGGCUCCCAGGACCAGGCUCCAUGGUGUUUUCUUGACAAUGUGUGAAAUGUAGAGCUCCGGUCUCAUUUAAAGUCAGCAAAGACAUA